rnacentral:rRNA from 1 species
GACGAACGCUGGCGGCGUGCUUAACACAUGCAAGUCGAACGGAAAGGCCCUGCUUUUGUGGGGUGCUCGAGUGGCGAACGGGUGAGUAACACGUGAGUAACCUGCCCUUGACUUUGGGGUAACUUCAGGAAACUGGGGCUAAUACCGGAUAGGAGCUCCUGCUGCAUGGUGGGGGUUGGAAAGUUUCGGCGGUUGGGGAUGGACUCGCGGCUUAUCAGCUUGUUGGUGGGGUAGUGGCUUACCAAGGCUUUGACGGGUAGCCGGCCUGAGAGGGUGACCGGCCACAUUGGGACUGAGAUACGGCCCAGACUCCUACGGGAGGCAGCAGUGGGGAAUAUUGCACAAUGGGCGGAAGCCUGAUGCAGCAACGCCGCGUGCGGGAUGAAGGCCUUCGGGUUGUAAACCGCUUUCGCCUGUGACGAAGCGUGAGUGACGGUAAUGGGUAAAGAAGCACCGGCUAACUACGUG